AAGAAGGAAGGGAAGGGAAGGUUGAGUUAGGGGAAGGGAAAGGAAGAAAGGAGGAAGGGAAGGGAAGGUUGAGUUAGGGGAAGGGGAAGGAAGAAAGGAGGAAGGGAAGGGAAGGUUGAGUUAGGGGAAGGGGAAGGAAGAAAGGAGGAAGGGAAGGGAAGGGAAGGGAAGGUUGAGUUAGGGGAAGGGGAAGGAAGAAAGGAGGAAGGGAAGGGAAGGGAAGGGAAGGUUGAGUUAGGGGAAGGGGAAGGAAGAAAGGAGGAAGGGAAGGGAAGGUUGAGUUAGGGGAAGGGGAAGGAAGAAAGGAGGAAGGGAAGGGAAGGUUGAGUUAGGGGAAGGGGAAGGAAGAAAGGAGGAAGGGAAGGGAAGGUUGAGUUAAGGGAAGGGGAAGGAAGAAAACAGUGUUUAAAAGUUAUGACAAAAAGAGCAAACAAAAUCUGUUCCAGCAUUUUCCCAAAAUGUGAAUAUAUGAUGUAUUAAUUAAAUUAGACUACAGGAGGAAUGGU